UCAAGACAGACCUUAUAGUUUUGUUUUUUUUCUAUACAAAUUUUCCAAAUGUUAGUUGAGAUUUUUGACAGAUUUUCAGAGGAUUUUAUUUUAUAUCCUAAAAAAUGACAGAGAGAAAAUGAGUAUGCUGUGUAGAGAAACGGUAGUCCCUGAGCCGCCACCUCCUCACUGGAUCCAUAUGCGAGGCUCGGAGGCAGGAAAUCGCCACGAUUGGAUGUAAUCAGGGGAGGGCCCGCCGAGCCCAUUAGACGAGUCCUGCUGGAACUGAUUGGCUGUCAUUAGCGAGAACCGAGUCACGCGCAAAUAACAUUUCAGCCGGCAUCAAGAAGAUUAACUCUGCAUGUGUGUUUUGGUGGGAUUUAUUUUGGUAGGUUUCUACUUCCUGUUUAGAAUUCAGGUCCAGUGGACAAGGCAAGAUUUUAUGAAAGAUUAAUAAACUAUUUUGAGAUUGUCAUUGGAGACAUUGUUAUUAUUUAGGUAAGGUGAGAUUCCUGUUUUAAGGAUUUUCGAUUCAGACAAUUUUUGAAAUUGUCAGUUGAGAUUUCUGAAAGAUUUUCUGCAAAUGAAAUGAAGUUGAGAUUUUUGUAAGAUUUUGCCAUUGUUGCUUAAUACAUCACGAAUCAAUUGCAAUGACCAGCUUCUCUGCUGCAAUGGCAGUCCAAUCCAGCUGCUUUUUACUGACGCAGAUCCAAAUAUGUAAAUGCCUGACCGCCCCUCGACCCGCGUAGGAAUGUUAUUUUGCUUCCGCUGCCUCACGCUACGCUAAUUUCUUCAGGACCGCAAGUACGAUUCAGGCUGUUCUGACGAUAUUCUUAGAGCUGCGGAGACCGAAGUUGUUUGACAAGCCUGUGGCUUUGUGUCACCAAAACCCCCAGCAGGUGAGGCUCUGGCUCCCCCGCCUCCCCUGACCACACGUUCCCACUCGGGGAAACUAAGGUCCACGCAGCAGACGCAACGAAACGUCAAGGGGGCUCGACGAGACAUGUCUGCUCUACUGUGCCGCCAUCUGGUUAUCCACUCAAGGUGUCCGGCCAAACAAUAGGCUUACAACAAGUGUUCAUCAUCCCUUCCUGGCCACUGAUUCCCAGGAUCAAUAGUCCUCAUCCCUCUCUCAACGUGUCGUAAAUCAGCCGGGGCCGAGGAAAGAACGCGUCUCCAGCGAGCCGGCCGGGGUCAGGCGGAAAGGUGAGGACAGCUUUAAGGGCCCCGGCCCGGUAAAAUCCUCCCAGUUGUUCUUCUUCAGUGCUGACUUAAAGGAUGGAUGAAAGGGAGGACAUAAAUUAGGAUGCACCAUGAAGCCGUCAGCAGCGGCAUAUAUGUGAUUUUCACAUCCACCCAAACAAAUAAAGGUUAGCAAAUAUAAUAAAGUUAACUAAGUGGUGAUGCAGUUAUAACUCAAUUUUGUUCUUUUCCCACCAUCUAGCCCCACAUUGGGCAAGGACAAGGCGACAAAA